rnacentral:rRNA from 1 species
GAUGAACGCUAGCGGCAGGCCUAACACAUGCAAGUCGAGCGGAAACGAUCCUAGCUUGCUAGGAGGCGUCGAGCGGCGGACGGGUGAGUAACGCGUGAGAAUCUACCCAUGAGUGGGGGACAACCCGGGGAAACUCGGGCUAAUACCGCAUACGCCCUACGGGGUAAAGCAGGGGACCUUCGGGCCUUGCGCUGAUGGAUGAGCUCGCGUCGGAUUAGCUUGUUGGUGAGGUAAAGGCUCACCAAGGCGACGAUCCGUAGCUGGUCUGAGAGGAUGAUCAGCCACACCGGGACUGAGACACGGCCCGGACUCCUACGGGAGGCAGCAGUGGGGAAUCUUGGACAAUGGGGGCAACCCUGAUCCAGCCAUGCCGCGUGUGUGAAGAAGGCCUUCGGGUUGUAAAGCACUUUCAGCAGGGAGGAAGGCUUACCCCUAAUACGGGUGAGUACUUGACGUUACCUGCAGAAGAAGCACCGGCUAAUUUCGUG